AAGGCUUUAGCUUAAUUAAAGUGUCUGAGUUGCAAUCAGANGAUGUGUGUYAAAAUAAUACAGGCCUG
rnacentral:tRNA from 1 species